CAGUAUUUGUGUAUUGGAAACGCGGCUUAACUUAAUGCAGAUUUUUCCGCUGAUUCGGCUGCUAAAGAUGCACUUUUGAGCCGCAGCGAGUGCACCCACGCCCCCGAGUUCGAGUGCAGUUGCAGUCGGGAAAGCUUGAAAAGUGCGCGGAGCAAGGAGAGCGACAAGUUCGUUGAGCUACAGCGAAACGGAAAAGUGCAAAAGCGGGGGAAACAGGCGCAGCGGAGCGGAUGAUAAACGGAACUCGGGAUCGGAAAAUUGGAAGCAAACCCAACCACCGAUUAUAAAAAAAGGAAGCAUCUUAAAAACGGGGAUAAUGGAGUCACAGAAGCGGCCUUCGUUGGAUUUACACACGGAUGUGCCAGCAGGAUCAGCAGCUGGAGGAUCUGGGCUGGGAGCUGCAGCUGAGAUGUCGCCCACUUCCGGUUUCCUGCCGGACAUGCCGCAGUGGAAGAAGGACCUCAUCCAGCGCCGGAAAACGAACGUGGCCCGCACCCAGGCGGCGUCCAUCACCUCGCCCACCGACGGCAGUUGUGGGGCUUUGGCAGAAGCCAACGCAGCUCCAGGUGCAAUUGCAGAUUUCACAGAACCGGCGACAAUCAGUAGCACUAGUCAAAAGAGAAACAUGAUCGGUUCAGAGGAAAAGUCUGAGAAAUCUUCUAUUUCGAAUACCAAUUCCGAUUCCACUGGAGGUCAUCACUCUGUUGUUGCCGUCUCCCUUUCGCCCGAUGCGGCAGCAACAACAAAUGUAACAGUAACACCAAUACCAAAGCAGCGAUCGAGUUUACUCAACACAAGAAGUCAGGAGAGGGAGAUGGUGCGAUAUAUUCUAAGCGAGAGCGGAGAGCGCGAUGGAGAGCCAGAGAGCGGCGAACAGCCGGCUGGUGUGGUGAGUAGCAGCCGGUGCGGUGAAGUUGAAACUGGCACAAUUGGAUCGCCGUCGUCGUCAGCAAAUCAAAAUCCAAACCCAAAUCAUUUAAAAACGAAAUGCAAACCGGGACAGAGCGUUGCUGAGGGCAAGCCUUCAGCGAAAGAGACCAUCGUCGAUAACAGCAAGAGCUGCAGCAAAACCAAGAGUAUUUCCGAUAAAUUGCAGAGCAACAAGUUUAUAAUUCAACAGCAGCAGCAACAACAACAGCAGCAACAACAGCAACUGUCGCCCACAAAGGUAACGGUAAAACCGACAAUGGUCGCCAUGCAAGAGAUGAAGAAGACAACCAAACAAAAUGGCCAGCACCGACAUCUAGCGGGCAAAAUUGGCAGCGUAGCAGGAGGAGAUGUGGAUCCACAACAUCCACCGACGAAUCCCAUACCAGAUUCAUUGGACACCGGUGAGGAUCUGAGCUACGGGCCCGGAAUUGUGUCCAAGCUGCGAUGCCGCUACUUGAGCCUGGCCCUCCGCGAGUCCCGCCAGCAGAGCAGCAAACAACGCCUCCAACGCUCCACCAGUCUGAAUACCCUGCUCGACCGCGACGAUGACGAGGUGGAAGUGGAGGAGCCCGAAGUACCCAACAGCCAGGUGCGUGCCAAAUCCACACCGCCACCGAUAUUGGGGGCAAAACCGACACCGAAACCCAGCAGCCAGCAGCAGCGUCCCGUCAGUCUGGGCGCUAAUGGAACUGGAUCAGCUGUUAACCCGCCCUCGAAUUCGGAUCAGGCCCAAACGGGCGCCGUUGCCAAUGGAGGCACAGGAUCUGGCCAACGAUCGCGUCACUUUAAACGCGGCAACGAGGUAAUGAAGCGGGCACGUUCCGUGGAGGCUCUGCUCUGCGAGAAAUCACCAUGGAACAGCCAGAGAAUCAGCACUGCCGGCGCAGCUUCAGCAGCAGCGCCUUCACCAUCUGCUCCCAAGGCCACACCCGCUGCUCCCUCACCUGUUACAUCGCCCACCUGCGUUACCAUCGAGGACAAGAUCCACAAUGCCCGCGAACGACUGCACAGCGGCACGGAUACGGCGCCACCCAAGCGUCUGACCUCCAUCAUCGAUGACACCGAGCGGCCGCCACCGGAUCUGGUCAAGCAGACGCUCAAGAUGUUUGAGGCGAGUGCCAAUCGACGACCGCGCGCGGCCCAUCGUUCCAAUGGUGUUGGCGGAGUGGCCAGCAAGGUGGCCAACUACAAAUCGAUCAUUAAGGAUCAGAAGCAACCAUCAUCAGCAGCGGCGACGCCUCCGCCGCCCGGCAUGGGUUUUGCCUCCUCAACGCCGCUAAGGCAUGUCCAUCCGGAUAUUAUACCCCGUCAGGUGGAUUCGCCCGUAUCGGCGUUGAGUGUGAUGAUGCGUCGCAUGGAGCUGCAGGAGCCCGAGACGCCGGAAAGGGAAACACGGGACGCAGAGGCCACACCGCAGAGCGAGGCGCCAAGUGAGACUGAGCGAAAUGAUCGCGAUGAAGGCGAUGGCGAAGUCGAUGACGACAACCACAACAACAACGACGACGACGAUCACGACGACGGCGACGAAGGCAGCGACAACAAUGAGCAACGCGAUAAAAUGGGCGCGGCGGCGGCAGGCGAUAAGCCUAAGCCCUCAGCGGAAUCGGCAGCGGGAGGCGCCCAACGAUCAUUCGGUGCCUCGACGGAGAACGCGCAUGUAGCCAGCGGGAGUAGCAGCAGUACCAGUGCCAGUGUACGCAAGCUCAACAACAACAACGACUCCAGCAGCGGACCAGCGGUGACCAAACAGAUCGGAGUCAUCCGUCCGCUAUUCAAUAGCCAGGGAGCUGGGAGCACGCCGCUAACGAGUCGCGAGAUCGAAAAGAAUCGCAUCAAUGAGAUGAAGAAGUCGACGGCCACAGAUGCCGGUGGUGCGGUAACCGGAUCGGGAUCCGGAUCCGGAACGGUUGCUGGUGCUGGAUCAGGAACCUCGCCCACCACUAGUCUCGACAGCGUGAUAAACACCAAGGAAGCGGCCAGCAGCGAAACGGAUGCCAGUGCCUCGCCACUGUGGACACUGCGCAAGCUGAGGAAUCAGAGCCAGUCGGCCGGCGGAGGAUCGGGUCCCAGUUCGAGCCUUCAUUCCACAGAGAACACCUCGAUGGUGUUCAACUUUUCCAAGAGCACCAAGGAAGUGCCCGACUACAUCGAAAGCGACGUUGUGAUUUACAGGCGCAAGCGUGAGCUGCCAAAGCCAAAUGAACCUGGCUUCGUGCUGCUGGGCGAUCUCUCCGUGGAGACGUCGACGGACACGGACUACGACGACUACUCCAUGUGCCCACCAUCGCCGUGCGAUGUGGAGUUUGAGAAUGCCAACAUUGUGAUCGACGGCAAGUCCAGCAUACGCCAGAAACCCAAAGAGUCUUCGUUCCGCGUGCAGUUCAACGACACGCUGACGUCGACGUUUGAAUACCCCUCCGAGGCAUCGAUGACCAUCGAGGAUCCGCCGUACGCCGAUCCCUUCGGCCAUGUGAGCAAACACCAUCAGAUGCUGCUCGCCGAGCAGAUGCACCUGUUGCAGCACCAGGAGCAGCUGGAGCUGGAGCAGAUGCACCAGCUGGGACUGGCGCCGGAGCAGCACCAUCAUGUGACCGUCGACGAGAUCAUCGAGCUGCCCACAUCGACGGCGGGACAUGGACAUGGCAUCGGAAUUGGACACAGGGCGGGUGCAGCGGGGGGCGGCGGCACGAUGCUGGGGAAUUUACCGUUGGAUUACCCAAGUUUAGGGAGGGGUAUUAUCUUGCCACAGUCGCCACAACAGCAGUCACCGCAGCGGCAGGAGCAGCCAGAACCUGCCAGAGCCACAUCGGCAACAGCAACACUGGCAGCAGUGGCAGGAUCAGCAGUGGCAAACCCAACCGAAGUGGAAAUCGAGCCACCACUACCAGCACCACCAGUCACAGUCGCCAAGCGCCCGCAGCUCCCGGCGAAGCCAGCACAGCAGCAGCAACAACAAGCGGCGCGUAGGGCCAGGCCAUCGGUGCUGCUGAAACCGCAGUACGCCUGCUUCCUUCAGCACGACGAUGACGCACCCAAAUCCCAGCCAGCUGCUGCUGGACGACCGCGCAAGGCAGCCUCGUUUUCAUUGGGCAAUCAACGCCAAUCGAAGGAGCAGCAGCAAGAUCAUCAUCAUUACCAGCCGCAGCAUCAGCAGAGUAAAUAUGAACGCAGCGAUUGCAGUAGGAGUCGGGGCAGUGGCGAGAGUCCAGCUCCAGAACUCCAGCAGCGACGUCGUCGGCCUAGUCUGCCGUCGUCGCUGGCUUUGUCCAAUGCCAGCUCGGCCCUGCUCCAGGCACGCAUUCCAGGCACCACGCUCUACUAUGUCUGAUGGCCACCCGAUAUGAAAAGCACUAGUCUCCAAACUCCAGAUAACCAGAUAUCCAGAUAACCAGAUACUCCAACUCCGAACCGAUUUGAAACCGCCAGCGAAACAUAUUAUUUAAAUGUAACAGAAUACAUAAGCAAAGCGUUGAAAUAAUAUCUAUUGUAUACCAAAACCAAAAAUAUCUAUGAUAACAAACAAGCAAAGGCAAUUAAACCGAUCCGUAAACUGAAUAACCGAUUAAUAACUGCAGCCGCUCAACCCGAACCGCAAUAAAUAACUAUCAAGUAAAGAAUAGAAGAACUUAACAAUGAGAAAUGCAAUAUUCAAUAUGCGAAAUGCCAAAUGCCUAAUGCCAAAUGCCAAUCCAAAUAACCCAAUAACCGAUUCAAGUGCGAGAACAGAUAUGCCACACCUCUAACCCAGUGCACUUGCUCUGUCUGCUCCGCUGGGCAAUCAAACUAAUCGCCAAUUCAUAUUACUAUUAAGGCUCCACGGCUCUGGGCUUCUACACGCCCAUGAAGGGCACGGCGAUGGACAACCUAUUCCAGCUGGGUGUCACCCGGUACGCCCUGCCCGAGA